GGUGGUGUGGGGCGGCCGGGUCGGGCCGGUGCGGGCGCCAUGGAGUACGUGACGGCCGAGCAGCUGGCCGGCUUCAGCAAGUAUAAGCAUGUUAUAGAUUUGGAGAAAAGCCUGGAGGAGGCAACAAGGGAAGGAGCUGCGCUCCCAGCAGUGAUGGUUGGUUUUCCUGGAGCAGAAGCACUUUCUGCAAGGUUGCUUCCUCCAGCUCUUGCUCCUCCUGUGGCUGCCAGGAGUGCAGAUGCAGGAGGUUGUACUGUUUGGGUAUGCACCUUUGGAUAUAACUUAAGCCAUGGGACAGAAAGGUUUCUCUGCUGUACCAAAUUCACCCCCUUGCCUGACAGUGCUGAGGCUUCCCCAGGAGAUGCUGCUCACAGUGGUCAGAAAGCCAAACAGAUCCUAAGUGAGUCUGCCCCAACAUUACCUCCUGCUCAUCAGGUUGGUGCAGAGGACUGAUAGCUCUGGCAGAUCGGAGGGCUUGUUAUCAGAAAUAAAGCUUGUUUUAAGGCUG
rnacentral:lncRNA from 1 species